rnacentral:rRNA from 1 species
UGAGCCGCUGGCGGCGUGCCUAAUACAUGCAAGUCGAGCGGACAGAUGGGAGCUUGCUCCCUGAUGUUAGCGGCGGACGGGUGAGUAACACGUGGGUAACCUGCCUGUAAGACUGGGAUAACUCCGGGAAACCGGGGCUAAUACCGGAUGCUUGUUUGAACCGCAUGGUUCAAACAUAAAAGGUGGCUUCGGCUACCACUUACAGAUGGACCCGCGGCGCAUUAGCUAGUUGGUGAGGUAAUGGCUCACCAAGGCAACGAUGCGUAGCCGACCUGAGAGGGUGAUCGGCCACACUGGGACUGAGACACGGCCCAGACUCCUACGGGAGGCAGCAGUAGGGAAUCUUCCGCAAUGGACGAAAGUCUGACGGAGCAACGCCGCGUGAGUGAUGAAGGUUUUCGGAUCGUAAAGCUCUGUUGUUAGGGAAGAACAAGUACCGUUCGAAUAGGGCGGUACCUUGACGGUACCUAACCAGAAAGCCACGGCUAACUACGUGCCAGCAGCCGCGGUAAUA